rnacentral:misc_RNA from 1 species
AGGGAAUCGACCUCAGAUUUACUUCAACAUACCAUCCAUAGUCCAACGGCAUGACAGAAGUCACCAACCGAACUAUCCUAAGUGGACUACAGAAAAAACUAGACAAAGCAAAAGGACGAUGAUCGAAAGAGUACCCAUUUGUACUAUGGCAUUCCGGACUACUCCCAAAUCAGCAACCAAUGAAACUCCUUUCUCCUUGGCAUACAGCUCAG